GAUGAACGCUAGCUACAGGCUUAACACAUGCAGGUCGAGGGGAAACGGCAUCGAAAGCUUGCUUUUGAUGGGCGUCGACCGGCGCACGGGUGAGUAACGCGUAUCCAACCUGCCCAUCACUUGGGAAUAACCUUGCGAAAGUAAGACUAAUGCCCAAUGACAUCCCACGAAGGCAUCCGAAUGGGAUUAAAGAUUUAUCGGUGAUGGAUGGGGAUGCGUCUGAUUAGCUUGUUGGCGGGGUGACGGCCCACCAAGGCAACGAUCAGUAGGGGUUCUGAGAGGAAGGUCCCCCACAUUGGAACUGAGACACGGUCCAAACUCCUACGGGAGGCAGCAGUGAGGAAUAUUGGUCAAUGGGCGAGAGCCUGAACCAGCCAAGUAGCGUGCAGGAUGACGGCCCUAUGGGUUGUAAACUGCUUUUAUAAGGGAAUAAAGUGGGUCACGUGUGACUUUUUGCAUGUACCUUAUGAAUAAGGACCGGCUAAUUCCGUG
rnacentral:rRNA from 1 species